rnacentral:rRNA from 1 species
AACGGGUGAGUAACACGUGGAUAACCUGCCUCAAGGCUGGGGAUAACAUUUGGAAACAGAUGCUAAUACCGAAUAAAACUUAGUAUCGCAUGAUACAAAGUUGAAAGGCGCUACGGCGUCACCUAGAGAUGGGUCCGCGGUGCAUUAGUUAGUUGGUGGGGUAAAGGCCUACCAAGACAAUGAUGCAUAGCCGAGUUGAGAGACUGAUCGGCCACAUUGGGACUGAGACACGGCCCAAACUCCUACGGGAGGCUGCAGUAGGGAAUCUUCCACAAUGGGCGCAAGCCUGAUGGAGCAACGCCGCGUGUGUGAUGAAGGCUUUCGGGUCGUAAAGCACUGUUGUAUGGGAAGAAAUGCUAGAAUAGGGAAUGAUUCUAGUUCGACGGUACCAUACCAGAAAGGGACGGCUAAAUACGUGCCAGCAGCCGCGGUAAUACGUAUGUCCCGAGCGUUAUCCGGAUUUAUUGGGCGUAGAGCGAGCGCAGACGGUUGAUUAAGUCUGAUGUGAAAGCCCGGAGCUCAACUCCGGAAUGGCAUUGGAAACUGGUUAACUUGAGUGUUGUAGAGGUAAGUGGAACUCCAUGUGUAGCGGUGGAAUGCGUAGAUAUAUGGAAGAACACCAGUGGCGAAGGCGGCUUACUGGACAACAACUGACGUUGAGGCUCGAAAGUGUGGGUAGCAAACAGGAUUAGAUACCCUGGUAGUCCACACCGUAAACGAUGAAUACUAGGUGUUAGGAGGUUUCCGCCUCUUAGUGCCGAAGCUAACGCAUUAAGUAUUCCGCCUGGGGAGUACGACCGCAAGGUUGAAACUCAAAGGAAUUGACGGGGACCCGCACAAGCGGUGGAGCAUGUGGUUUAAUUCGAAGCAACGCGAAGAACCUUACCAGGUCUUGACAUCCUUUGAAGC